CGGAAUUUAGCUUAGAUGGGUAAAGCAGCCAUAGACUUAGUCGUGAGCAAGACCACUGGUUCGAGUCCAGUAAUUCCGA
rnacentral:tRNA from 1 species